UACAGAGGGGGCAAGCGUUAUUCGGAAUUACUGGGCGUAAAGGGCGCGUAGGCGGCCCUGCAAGUCAAAGGUGAAAUCCCUCGGCUCAACUGAGGAACUGCCUUUGAAACUGCGGGGCUUGAGGCCGGGAGGGGGUAGCGGAAUUCCCAGUGUAGCGGUGAAAUGCGUAGAUAUUGGGAGGAACACCAGAGGCGAAGGCGGCUACCUGGACCGGUUCUGACGCUGAUGCGCGAAAGCGUGGGUAGCAAACAGG
rnacentral:rRNA from 1 species